rnacentral:misc_RNA from 1 species
AAGUCGUAACAAGGUUUCCGUAGGUGAACCUGCGGAAGGAUCAUCACUGCAUCCGUCCUUUUACCAACACACCUGUAGUUCAUGUUAGGGCUGCUUCGAGGGGCCUGGCCGUGGCUGGCGCCCCCUGAAGCGCCCUGUCUUUUUUCAAUUACACGCGUCAACCCUUUUUCAACUCUUAUUAGAAACAAAACACAACUUUUAACAACGGAUCUCUUGGUUCUC